rnacentral:rRNA from 1 species
CCCUUAGAUGUCCUGGGCCGCACGCGCGCUACACUGAGUGUCUGAGAUACGAGUCUGCCUGGUCCGGCAAGGUCUAGGUAAUCGCUAAAAGACACAUCAUGCUUGGGAUAGAUUAUUGCAAAUAUUAAUCUUGAACGAGGAAUUCCUAGUAAGCGCAAGUCAACAGCUUGCGUUGAUUACGUCCCUGCCCUUUGUACACACCGCCCGUCGCUACUACUGAUUGGAUGUUUAAGCGAGGUUCUCGAACUGCUAGCGACUUAGCUUCGGUGAGGUCGCGGUGUGGGAAGUGAACCUAGCUUUGGUGUCUAGAGGAAGUAAAAGUCGUAACA